AGCUGUUACAGGUGUUGCAUGGCUGUCGUCAGCUCGUGUCGUGAGAUGUUCGGUUAAGUCCGACUAACGAGCGCCAACCCGCGUUGUGUGUUAUAUGUGUCACACAAUACCGCCGGUAAUUAGCCGGAAGGAAGGUGGCGGAUGACGUCAAGUCAGCAUGACCUUUAUAUCCAGGGCUACACACACGCUACAAUGGACAGUACAACAGGUUGCCAAGCCGCGAGGCGGAGCCAAUCCUCUAAAAGCUGUCCUCAGUUCAGAUUGCAGGCUGCAACUCGCCUGCAUGAAGUUGGAGUUGCUAGUAACCGCAGGUCAGCUAUACUGCGGUGAAUACGUUCCCGGGGAUU
rnacentral:rRNA from 1 species